AUACGGAGGGUGCAAGCGUUAUCCGGAAUCAUUGGGUUUAAAGGGUCCGUAGGCGGGCAAAUAAGUCAGAGGUGAAAUCCCACAGCUCAACUGUGGAACUGCCUUUGAUACUGUUUGUCUUGAGUUAUAGUGAAGUAGAUAGAAUAUGUAGUGUAGCGGUGAAAUGCAUAGAUAUUACAUAGAAUACCGAUUGCGAAGGCAGUCUACUAACUAUUGCCUGACGCUAAUGGACGAAAGCGUGGGGAGCGAACAGGAUUAGAAACCCGAGUAGUCC
rnacentral:rRNA from 1 species